rnacentral:rRNA from 1 species
GUCGAGCGGACUGAAGGGAGCUUGCUCCCGGACGUUAGCGGCGGACGGGUGAGUAACACGUAGGCAACCUGCCUUGUAGACUGGGAUAACUUCGGGAAACCGGAGCUAAUACCGGAUGUUAGAUGAAUCGCGCAUGCGUUUUAUCUUAAAGUUGGCCUCGGCUAACACUACAAGAUGGGCCUGCGGCGCAUUAGCUAGUUGGUAAGGUAGUGGCUUACCAAGGCGACGAUGCGUAGCCGACCUGAGAGGGUGAUCGGCCACACUGGGACUGAGACACGGCCCAGACUCCUACGGGAGGCAGCAGUAGGGAAUCUUCCGCAAUGGACGAAAGUCUGACGGAGCAACGCCGCGUGAGCGAUGAAGGCCUUCGGGUCGUAAAGCUCUGUUGUUAGGGAAGAACAAGUGCCGUUCGAAUAGGUCGGCACCUUGACGGUACCUAACCAGAAAGCCACGGCUAACUACGUGCCAGCAGCCGCGGUAAUACGUAGGUGGCAAGCGUUGUCCGGAAUUAUUGGGCGUAAAGCGCGCGCAGCGGUCUUUUAAGUCUGAUGUGAAAGCCCACGGCUCAACCGUGGAGGGUCAUUGGAAAACUGGGAGACUUGAGUACAGAGAGAGAGUGGAAUUCCACGUGUAGCG